GACACACUACGGUUCUGCCAACAACAUUCAAUCACCGAUAUCCAGGAGCAUGAUAAGAUAUAUUCUCGAUAUUCUCAAUAUUUUUCAAGAUAUAUAUACCAGCGAAACGGCCCUACCGCCAACAUUAACUGUGUAUGUGCUGGUAAGUGAGUGCUACAGCGGUGGACCGGUGAGCAUCCGCGAAGGAUAUUUGUCCUCUAGUUACUGUCCAUUAAACAUCGCCUUGUUUAGCUCAAGUGUCGAGCGUCAAGCUUCUAUUAACUUAGCACAUAGUUAUCUCUUAUUCGAAAACAGAAUAUAUCUUGGUUUGGUCAGUUUUUCACCACAUACUCUGUCUGGGUGUAUCCAACUGCGGUGCAACAUUUACCAUAACUAUGUCAAAGCCAACUG
rnacentral:sRNA from 2 species